GAUGAACGCUGGCGGCGUGCUUAACACAUGCAAGUCGAACGGAAAGGCCAGUGCUUGCCCUGGUACUCGAGUGGCGAACGGGUGAGUAACACGUGGGUGAUCUGCCCUGCACUUCGGGAUAAGCCUGGGAAACUGGGUCUAAUACCGGAUAGGACAAUGGUUUGGAUGCCGUUGUGGAAAGUUUUUUCGGUGUGGGAUGAGCUCGCGGCCUAUCAGCUUGUUGGUGGGGUAAUGGCCUACCAAGGCGUCGACGGGUAGCCGGCCUGAGAGGGUGUACGGCCACAUUGGGACGGAGAUACGGCCCAGACUCCUACGGGAGGCAGCAGUGGGGAAUAUUGCACAAUGGGCGCAAGCCUGAUGCAGCGACGCCGCGUGGGGGAUGACGGCCUUCGGGUUGUAAACUCCUUUCGCUAGGGACGAAGCGUAUUUGUGACGGUACCUGGAGAAGAAGCACCGGCUAACUACGUG
rnacentral:rRNA from 1 species